UACGUUGGGGUCUAGCGUUGUCCGGAAUCAUUGGGCGUAAAGAGCUCGUAGGCGGUUCGGCAAGUCGGAUGUGAAAUCUCCACGCUCAACGUGGAGGGGCCAUUCGAAACUGCCGUGACUCGAGUCCGGUAGGGGAGUGCGGAAUUCCCGGUGUAGCGGUGAAAUGCGCAGAUAUCGGGAGGAAUACCAGCGGCGAAGGCGGCCUUCUGGACGGUGACUGACGCUGAGACGCGAAAGCGUGGGGAGCAAACAGG
rnacentral:rRNA from 1 species